UGGCCAAGUACCAGGACGAAUGCCAGGCA
rnacentral:piRNA from 1 species